AGAGUUUGAUCCUGGCUCAGGACGAACGCUGGCGGCGUGCCUAACACAUGCAAGUCGAGCGGAGGUAUGAAGUAGUUUACUAUGACAUACUUUAGCGGCGGACGGGUGAGUAACACGUGGGCAACCUGCCUCGAAGUGGGGGAUAACACCGAGAAAUCGGUGCUAAUACAGCAUAACAUACACAAACCGCAUGGUUAGUGUAUCAAAGGAGAAAUCCGCUUUGAGAUGGGCCCGCGGCUGAUUAGCUAGUUGGUGAGGUAAUGGCUCACCAAGGCGACGAUCAGUAGCCGACCUGAGAGGGUGACCGGCCACACUGGAACUGAGACACGGUCCAGACUCCUACGGGAGGCAGCAGUGGGGAAUAUUGCGCAAUGGGGGAAACCCUGACGCAGCAACGCCGCGUGGAGGAAGAAGGUCUUCGGAUUGUAAACUCCUGUCUUCUGGGACGAUAAUGACGGUACCAGAGGAGGAAGCCACGGCUAACUACGUGCCAGCGGCCGCGGUAAUACGUAGGUGGCGAGCGUUGUCCGGAAUUACUGGGCGUAAAGGGCGCGUAGGCGGCUCUUUAAGUCAGAUGUGAAAACCCAGGGCUUAACUUUGGGAGUGCAUUUGAAACUGAAGGGCUCGAGUGCAGGAGAGGUAAGUGGAAUUCCUUGUGUAGCGGUGAAAUGCGUAGAUAUUAGGAGGAACACCAGUGGCGAAGGCGACUUACUGGACUGUAACUGACGCUGAGGCGCGAAAGCGUGGGGAGCAAACAGGAUUAGAUACCCUGGUAGUCCACGCUGUAAACGAUGGAUACUAGGUGUGGGAGGUAUCGACCCCUUCCGUGCCGCAGUUAACGCAAUAAGUAUCCCGCCUGGGGAGUACGGCCGCAAGGUUGAAACUCAAAUGAAUUGACGG
rnacentral:rRNA from 1 species